rnacentral:rRNA from 1 species
GAUGAACGCUGGCGGCGUGCCUAAUACAUGCAAGUCGAGCGAACAGACGAGGAGCUUGCUCCUCUGACGUUAGCGGCGGACGGGUGAGUAACACGUGGAUAACCUACCUAUAAGACUGGGAUAACUUCGGGAAACCGGAGCUAAUACCGGAUAAUAUAUUGAACCGCAUGGUUCAAUAGUGAAAGACGGUUUUGCUGUCACUUAUAGAUGGAUCCGCGCUGCAUUAGCUAGUUGGUAAGGUAACGGCUUACCAAGGCAACGAUGCGUAGCCGACCUGAGAGGGUGAUCGGCCACACUGGAACUGAGACACGGUCCAGACUCCUACGGGAGGCAGCAGUAGGGAAUCUUCCGCAAUGGGCGAAAGCCUGACGGAGCAACGCCGCGUGAGUGAUGAAGGUCUUCGGAUCGUAAAACUCUGUUAUUAGGGAAGAACAAAUGUGUAAGUAACAAUGCACGUCUUGACGGUACCUAAUCAGAAAGCCACGGCUAACUACGUG